rnacentral:lncRNA from 1 species
AUGACCUCAAGGGGGGUCAGGAGAGGACAACCCGGGGGUCCGGCCCCACCCCUCACCCUCCAGGUAGUUCCUGGCGAUGAACUUGAGGGCCUCGUCCAGCAGAAUGACCGGGAAGGAGAUCUUGAUGACCAUCAGCCAAUGGGUCAGCGUCAGCGGCGUCAGCUUGAAGAUCAUCUGGGGACAUCGUGGGACGCGGUUGGGACCUCCUCAAGGGCCACCACGGCCGCUCCCGUGGCCACCAGAACCCAGCGGUGGCCACCAGAACCCAGCUGUGGCCACCAGAACCCACCCGUGGUCAUCAGAACCCAACUGUGGCCACCAGAACCCAACUGUGGUCAUCAGAACUCAGCUGUGGCCACCAGAACUCAGCUGUGGCCACCAGAACCCACCCGUGGUCAUCAGAACCCAACUGUGGCCACCAGAACCCAGCUGUGGCCACCAGAACCCAACUGUGGCCACCAGAACCCAACUGUGGCCACCAGAACCCAACUGUGGCCAUCAGAACCCAACUGUGGUCAUCAGAGUCCACUCGUGGUCAUCAGGACCCACCCAUGGCCACCAGAACCCAACUGUGGCCACCAGAAUCCAGCUGUGGCCACCAGAGCCCACCCGUGGUCAUCAGAACUUAACUGUGGCCACCAGAACCCAGUGGUGGCCACCAGAGCCCACCCGUGGUCAUCAGAACCCACCCAUGGCCACCAGAACCCAACUGUGGCCACCAGAACCCAACUGUGGCCACCAGAACCCAACUGUGGUCAUCAGAACCCAACGGUCACUCAGGCCAAGGUCAACGGGGUCGUGGUCGCCAUCUUGGUGACCACCAACCCAAUGACCACCACCCCCAAAGCCACCACCCCAAGGUCCCCAGGGCCACCACCCCAAGGUCCCCGUGGCCACCACCCCAAGGUCCUCAAGGCCACCAACCCGAGGUCCCCAAGGCCACCACCCCAAGGUCUCCAUGGCCACCACCCCAAGGUCCACCAACCCAACAUCUCCAAAGCCACCACCCCAAGAUCCCCAUGG